CAGUAGCCGCGGGAACACAGAGGGUGCGAGCGUUAAUCGGAUUUACUGGGCGUAAAGCGUGCGUAGGCGGCUAAUUGAGUCGGAUGUGAAAUCCCCGAGCUUAACUUGGGAAUUGCAUUCGAUACUGGUUAGCUAGAGUGUGGGAGAGGAUGGUAGAAUUCCAGGUGUAGCGGUGAAAUGCGUAGAGAUCGGGAGGAAUACCGAUGGCGAAGGCAGCCAUCUGGCCUAACACUGACGCUGAGGUACGAAAGCAUGGGGAGCAAACAGGAUUAGAGACCCCCGUAGUCCCUGUCUCUUAUAC
rnacentral:rRNA from 1 species